CAUUAAUCAUAAUUUGGAAUUUAGCCAGAAUUUGUUUAGGGAUUUCUAUAGGUAGUGUAUGGAAUAAGAACAUAAUUUGUGGCAAUAUCAUCAUUUUGACCAAGUUCACAUGGCCCAGCCAUAAAAUCAGCUUGAGUUCCCAGGAUUGCAGAGUUUGUUGGAGUUUUGAAACUAGUUUUAAAUGGUUAGCUUGCAACAAGGUGUGUUUGGUGUGUGCUAGUUCAAUUUCAAGGUACGACAGUG